GGGCGACUAGCUCAGCUGGGAGAGCAUCGGCCUUACAAGCCGAGGGUCACAGGUUCAAACCCUGUGUCGCCCACCA
rnacentral:tRNA from 1 species